UCCCUUCUACUUCUUCUACAUCGAUGACGAGUUGUAAACAUAACCUCAUACGUUUGAAAAAUAACUGUAACAAAUAUUGAACGUAAUUUUUCCUUGAGCCAAACUUGCUCUUCCAACUAUAUGUUAGACAGCAUGAUGAUAUGACUGUGGUAUAAACUGGUUAUGGUAUAGAACUUAUUAAUAAAUUACACUAUCUGGAAAUAUAAAGGAGAUGUUUACUUAAUCGGAUGUACAAACGUUGGUAAAUCUUCUCUGUUCAACGCUCUUCUGCAGUCUGAUUAUUGCAAGGUACAAGCUGUGGAUCUUAUAC